rnacentral:misc_RNA from 1 species
UCCGGUUUGGCACCGGCAGUCUCCCUAGAGUUCCCGGCAUUACCCGCUGGCAACUAAGGACAGGGGUUGCGCUCGUUGCGCCACUUAAGGCAACACCUCACGGCACGAGCUGACGACAGCCAUGCACCACCUGUGCAGGCUCCGAAGAGCGUCGUCUUUCAACGAUUUCACCCUGCAUGUCAAACCCAGGUAAGGUUCUUCGCGUUGCAUCGAAUUAAACCACACGCUCCGCUGCUUGUGCGGGUCCCCGUCAAUUCCUUUGAGUUUUAGUCUUGCGACCGUACUCCCCAGGCGGGCUACUUAAUGCGUUAGCUUCGGCACAGGAGGGUCGCUCCCCCGGGCACCUAGUGCCCAUCGUUUACGGCGUGGACUAC